AGAGUUUGAUCCUGGCUCAGGAUAAACGCUGGCGGCGCACAUAAGACAUGCAAGUCGAACGGACUUAACCAUUAGUUUACUAUUGGAGCGGUUAGUGGCGGACUGGUGAGUAACACGUAAGCAACCUGCCUAUCAGAGGGGAACAACAGUUAGAAAUGACUGCUAAUACCGCAUAUGCCAUGAAUAUCACAUGAUAUAAAUGGGAAAGGAGCAAUCCGCUGAUAGAUGGGCUUGCGUCUGAUUAGAUAGUUGGUGGGGUAACGGCCUACCAAGUCGACGAUCAGUAGCCGGACUGAGAGGUUGAACGGCCACAUUGGGACUGAGAUACGGCCCAGACUCCUACGGGAGGCAGCAGUCGGGAAUAUUGCGCAAUGGAGGAAACUCUGACGCAGUGACGCCGCGUGCAGGAAGAAGGUUUUCGGAUUGUAAACUGCUUUAGACAGGGAAGAUAAUGACAGUACCUGUAGAAUAAGCUCCGGCUAACUACGUGCCAGCAGCCGCGGUAAUA
rnacentral:rRNA from 1 species